CACAUUUACUCACUUUUACUGCAACAAAAAUAUCCCAAGCAGUUACCCUGAUUUCAGGCUAAUCCCUUCCAAUAUGAAGCUGCCAGGGUAGGUUUCUUAAAAUGUUUAUCAUUAAUUCAAAAUCAUCAGCAAAGUCCACAAAAACCUCUGUAAUACGAUGUUGCUGAACAAAAUACUGGCAGCCCUAGAAACACAAGAACUAU
rnacentral:lncRNA from 1 species